AGUCUUUAACCGUAACCGCCCCUAAUUGUAUUUGAAACGUUUGUCCCCCUCAACUUUCUUUCCUUCCCCUUUUUCCUAUGUACUUUCCUCGCAAUUACUCCUCCAAAAUUCUCCCAAUUUUUUUCCCCUACUACUUAAACAAUUAUAGCAAUAAUAAUUGAUCUUUUCUCACCGAAUCCGCGUUUUCCCUCACCUUAAUCUUCGCCUCUAAUCUCUCCAUCUGAUCACAUCCUCAUUGCAUUUUUCCUCAUUUAGCCAAAAAUUAAAUUCUUAAUCAUCAGCAUUAUAACUAAUCGUAAGUUUAACCGCCCAAUUUUUUGUCAAUUUAAUUUUUCCCAUUAAUUUUGUCCAUUUCCCGCAAAAUCCGGGUUCUGGCAUAUUCCAAUGAAUUUCUCAUCUUCAUCUCUAGAAAGUAUUUCUCAGAAUUUUAUUGAUUUAGUUUUGUAAAUUUUCUUUUUGCCUUUUCCCCCCUUCCUCUUCCGAUUGUUCUAUGCAUCCAUUUUGUUGCGUUUCUUCUACUAUUCCAGACCCGAUGACUCCGCCACCGGCGCUACCGUCGCCGCCGCCUCCUCGGGCGUCUUCUUCCUCUGAUCAUAAUAAUAAUAAUAAUAAUAAUCAUUAUCCGAUUAAACAGAGCAAGGUAAAUAAUAGUAAUAUUAACGGGGAUAAUAGGAAUAAUAAUGAUCAGACUACGAGUCGAUAUUUUUCUCCGCCGCGGCUGUCGAGGGCGUCGCAACCGCCGUCGAGGAGGGAGAUUGCUCAAUUGACUGCGGCAGCUGCGGCGGCGAGUGGGAGCACGAGCGGAGCAGCGAAGAUAAAUGAUAUUGUAGGACAUGGCAUUUCGGGAAUUUUGUACAAGUGGGUGAAUUACGGGAAAGGAUGGCGGCCGCGGUGGUUUGUUUUGCAAGAUGGCGUGUUGUCGUAUUACAAGAUCCAUGGGCCUGAUAAGAUUGUUGUGAGUCAAGAGAGCGAGAAAGGCGCUAGAUUGAUUGGGGAAGAGUCGUUUAAGAGGAUCUCCAGGCGGAAUGGAUUAUCAUCGUCGGCAUCAUCACAACAGAAGACUCGCAAGCCUGUUGGUGAAGUCCAUCUCAAGGUUUCCUCUAUUCGAGAGAGCAGAUCAGAUGAUAGAAGAUUUUCUAUUUUUACUGGAACAAAGAGGCUGCAUUUGAGAGCUGAAACUAGAGAAGAUCGAAUGGCUUGGAUGGAAGCAUUGCAAGCUGUGAAGGACAUGUUCCCUAGAAUGUCCAACAGUGAAUUAAUGGCUUCUAUCGACAAUGUGGCUGUUUCAACAGAAAAGUUGAGGCAAAGAUUAUUGGAAGCAGGCGCAAGCAAGGAUACUAUUGAGGAAAGUGAACAAAUUAUGAAAGACGAGUUUGCUUCUCUGCAGAAUCAAUUGAUGCUUCUGAAGCAGAAGCACUGGCUCCUCAUUGAUACGCUGCGGCAGUUAGAGACAGAAAAGGUUGAUCUGGAAAACACAGUAGUCGAUGAGAGUCAAAGACAAUUGAAAGGGGCAUUUAGCAGAUCAAGGCAAGACAAAUAUAGUGAGGCCAGUGCCAGUGAAUCUGAAGAUGAUACUGAAAGAGUUGAUGCUGCAGAAGAGGAUACAGAUGAAGAAGAUAACACCUUCUUUGACACAAGGGACUUCUUGUCUUCAAGUUCCUUCAAGAGCAAUGGAUCUGAUUUUCGCACAUCAUCUUUCUCAUCUGGUGAAGAUGAACUUUAUGCUUUUGAAUCUGAUGAUGGUGUCGAUCCUGCUAUUAAAUCCGCUGGUGCUAACUUUCCCUACAUAAAGCGUCGCAAAAAAUUACCUGAUCCUGUUGAAACCGAGAAAAGUGUGAGCUUAUGGUCGAUGAUUAAAGACAACAUUGGGAAGGACCUCACAAGAGUUUGUCUUCCUGUCUACUUCAAUGAACCUCUGUCUUCUUUGCAAAAGUGCUUUGAGGAUUUGGAGUAUUCAUAUCUAAUUGAUCGUGCUUAUGAAUGGGGGAAAAGGGUAUGCAUAGGUAAUAGCCUUAUGAGGAUUUUAAAUGUAGCAGCAUUUGCAGUAUCUGGGUAUGCGUGUACUGAAGGAAGAAGUUGCAAACCAUUUAAUCCACUAUUAGGGGAGACUUAUGAGGCUGAUUAUCCUGACAAAGGGCUCCGGUUUUUCUCAGAGAAGGUCAGUCAUCAUCCUAUGAUUGUAGCUUGUCACUGCGAGGGUACUGGAUGGAAGUUUUAUGGUGAUAGCAAUUUGAAAAGCAAAUUCUGGGGUCGCUCUAUACAACUAGAACCUGUUGGUGUUUUAACUCUGGAAUUUGAUGAUGGAGAAGUAUUUCAAUGGAGUAAGGUAACAACAUCCAUUUACAAUCUUAUUUUGGGAAAACUAUAUUGUGAUCACUAUGGUACCAUGCGAAUUCAAGGAAACCGUGAUUAUUCAUGUAAACUGAAAUUCAAGGAGCAGUCUAUCAUAGACCGCAAUCCUCAUCAGGUACAAGGAAUAGUCCAGGAUAGGAGUGGAAAGACAGUUGCAACCCUCUUUGGGAAGUGGGAUGAGAGCAUGCAUUAUGUGAAUGGAGAGUGUUCUUCUAGAGGAAAAGGAGCUGAAUCUCUGUCAGAAGCACAUUUACUUUGGAAGCGGAGCAAACCUCCUAAGUUCCCAACAAGAUAUAAUUUUACCCGUUUUGCGAUGACAUUGAACGAACUUACCCCGGGACUGAAGGAAAGGCUACCACCGACCGAUUCAAGGUUGAGACCUGAUCAAAGGUGCUUGGAAAAUGGGCUGUAUGAACAGGCGAAUGCAGAAAAGCUGCGACUGGAGCAGCGACAAAGACAGGCCCGUAAAAUGCAAGAGAGGGGUUGGAAACCACGGUGGUUUGCUUAUGACAAAGGAUGUGAUUCUUACCGCUACAUUGGUGGGUAUUGGGAAGCAAGGGAAGAGGCGAAGUGGGAUUCAUGCCGUGAUAUUUUUGGUCACAUUGCGUCUGACCACAUAUUAGACUGAGGAAGCUUCAAAAAUUUUGGAUUCCUUUUUUCUUUCAUUUACGACAGAAAUAUUGGUUUAGGCAGCCGGUGAUUGUUGUCCGGGGCCAGGGACGUCAUUGACAAACCAUUUAGUGUAGAUCAAAUGCUUCCUGAAUAAAAGUUCUGCCACAUGUACUUACACAUGGAACAACAGUUUUGGAAUUUGACAUUUCUACAGCAACCCGAAAGUGGGGCACAAGUGAUGGUGACGGUAAAUUUAUCGCAUACUCCUCUUAAUGCGUGCAGGAACAUCAACCGUGGUGCUAAACGUAACCGACUUGCUAACCUGCUUCUGAAAAUCAGAUUUUUUCGGGAUACAAGGGUAGUUGUUGUUAUUUUUUUCCCUUCUUCUUCUUCUGGAUUUUACAUGAAUGAUUCAGUCUUGCGUUACA